UAAGGUUUGUAAAAUAUUUGAAAUUUGUUUCCAAGCAAAGUUUCUUUCUUGUCAUUUAUUGGGUAGCAAGUGAAAGACAAUAAAUGAAUUCAGGAUAGCAAAUCAAAUAUUUUUUAGGAAUAAUUACUUAUAUACCUUUCAAAACUUAAGAAAUAUUUUAUUUAUUCCUACUUUUUUUUUUCUUUCUAAUAUACCCUUCAUAUUUUCCUCUGUUAUUCCAAAACAGCUCUGCAGUUACCACCCGUUAAGUUAACUUAGAUUAAACGUGGGUUAAAUAUCUAAUAGAGUUUAAAAAAAAUUUUGUUCUUAACUUAAGAGUAAAUAAGAAAUGUUGGUGAUGGUAGAAAGGUAUAUUUAAAAAAUUAAAAAUUAAAAUACUUUUUGUACCCCUAAGUUAAAGGCAAAUAAGAAAAGUCGAUGAUGGCGGAAAGGUAUAUUUGAAAGGGCAAAAUAGUAAUUUCAUACAGAUAAUAGUUAUUGCUAACAGUUUAUUAACAGAAUUUAAUUUUAGGAAUGUAUUUGAAAUAGUUGGAACAUAAAAAGGGUAUUUUCAAUAUUAACCUUUUAAAUCAGAAAUUUUUCAGGGAUAUAUAAGCAAUUACCGCUAUUUUUUUUAUGACUCAGAUGGGUUUUUUCUUACAAUAACUCUUAAAAGAAUUCUAAUUUGCAAAAUAAUCUUUGCAAAAGAAUUAUUUGGCAAACUAAUUCUAUUCUAUUCAGUUCAACGCCAUAAGGGGAAAAAUGAAAGACGUCGUUGACUUGGUUUUAAAUGGUGAAUCAUUCAUCAUCUAUAGAAAUUCUAUUUAUAUUUGUUAGGAUUUUUGUAAGAUUG
rnacentral:lncRNA from 1 species